rnacentral:rRNA from 1 species
AGAGUUUGAUUCUGGCUCAGGAUGAACGCUAGCUACAGGCUUAACACAUGCAAGUCGAGGGGCAGCAUGUAGGUUGCUUGCAACCUAUGAUGGCGACCGGCGCACGGGUGCGUAACGCGUAUCCAACCUUCCCCGCAGUAGGGUCCAGCCCGUUGAAAGACGGAUUAAUCCCCUAUGUUGUCCAUUGACGGCAUCCGAUUUGGACGAAAGAUUUCAUCGCUGCGGGAUGGGGAUGCGUAGGAUUAGGUAGUCGGCGGGGUAACGGCCCACCGAGCCUUCGAUCCUUAGGGGUUCUGAGAGGAAGGUCCCCCCACACUGGAACUGAGACACGGUCCAGACUCCUACGGGAGGCAGCAGUGAGGAAUAUUGGUCAAUGGAGGCAACUCUGAACCAGCCAAGUAGCCGUGCAGGACGACGGCCCUACGGGUUGUAAACUGCUUUUAUGCGGGGAUAAACGGCAUUACGUGUAGUGCUUUGCAGGUACCGCAUGAAUAAGGACCGGCUAAUUCCGUGCCAGCCGCCGC